CGUUUUCAUAAUUGGAGAGACUUCCAGAUAUUUUCUGCUUUUUCUCUCUCAUUUUUGGUAAGCUUCUUCUUCCUUCUCUGUGCUCUUUAAGCUUUUGCAUCUACGGCUACCAUGUUAUCAAACGUACUAAAUUUGUUGGAAGAUUACCUUCAAUUCUUGAAGGACUGUCUGAUAUCAGCCAGUUGUUCAUACCAUCGAGUCUUGUAUUCUUACUAAGCUACAAGUGCAGAGUUGUCAGCGGCAGUUGAAAUUGUUCUUGUAUGUGCGGUAUUGGCUACUACUCAAGCUCAGCUGAAAGGUUUACUCAACUUAAUUACUAUCAAGCUUGAUGAUGGAAAUUUGAUGAAGUGGAGUUUUCAAGUUCGGUCAAUGAGUCAAUUCCUUUGGUAAGUGGAGUUUUCUGAGCUGGAUUAGGAGUUUGGUAAGAAGUGGGGACCGUUGAGGUGGUUUGAAAUUUGAUGAGGAUUGAGGAAUUGGGACAGGAUGAGGAGAGGAAAAUGAGUGAGCAUAUUUUUCAUUGAAAAAAGUAGGGGUCCAAGAAUGAGUUGUAUGAGUUCCUUCCAUCUUUACCUGUAUAGAAGUUGUUUAAUUUGUUAUAAAAUUCUUUAGAAAUCUCGGAGCUUUCAACAUUUUGUGCAUUUGUACAUGCUUAGUGCUUUGAUCAUUUUAUCACCAUUGUUAUGACGGUAAUCUAUGCUCUAAUAUAAUUCGGAUUCGAGAUUCAUAGCUGACAAAGAUCAUUCAGGAGAUGACUGUCUUGGGUUCACAGGUACAACAUCAAGUCCCAUACCAGAUCUCUUUCAAGAAAUGACUGACCUCGCAUAUUGAAACAAAGCAAAAGCAACAUGAACUUCAGUUAUCAGGCUUGGAGCACUUGACAGUCUGUAGAAAUGUAGUGAAGAUCAGGAAUUCUAGACACGAACAUGAAUAAUGGAUGUAUCAAAAGCAAAAGUUAAAACAUAUGGUUUUAAUAAAUAAAGUACAGAUGACCAUAUUAACCAGUUACACCUGUAGUUUCUACUAUUGUAUGAAAGGAUAAAGAGUUGUGAUAAAUAAUA